rnacentral:rRNA from 1 species
UACGUAGGGUGCGAGCGUUAAUCGGAAUUACUGGGCGUAAAGCGUGCGCAGGCGGUUUUGUAAGCCAGAUGUGAAAUCCCCGGGCUUAACCUGGGAAUGGCAUUUGGGACUGCACAGCUGGAGUGCGGCAGAGGGGGAUGGAAUUCCGCGUGUAGCAGUGAAAUGCGUAGAUAUGCGGAGGAACACCGAUGGCGAAGGCAAUCCCCUGGGCCUGCACUGACGCUCAUGCACGAAAGCGUGGGGAGCAAACAGG